rnacentral:rRNA from 1 species
GAGGAAUGUAUAGCAAUAGCUACUUGUAUCAUUAAUGAUGCAAGCUCGACUAUGUUGAAUAAAAUUCUAGGUAGAAUUAUGAUAAUGACAUUGUCUGCCUAUGUGUCUUGACCAAAUUACGUGCCAGCAGUCGCGGUAAUACGUAGAAGACUAGUGUUAUUCAUGUUUAAUCGGUUUAAAGGGUACCUAGACGGUGAAUCAAGCUUUAAAUAAAUAAGAAAAGGGACUAAUUUACUAGAGUUACUUACGAGGGGGUAUUAAAGUACUGCUGGUGUAGAGAUGAAAUUCUGUCAUACCUCUUUUCGAAAGAAAAAUCAUGGCACAGGUAUAGGCGAAGGCAUCCCCUUAUGUGAUAACUGACGUUGAGGGACGAAGGCUUUGUGUAACAAACAGGAUUAGAUACCCUAGUAGUUGAAGCAGAAAAUGAUGAAUGUCAUAGAUUAGACGUCUAAGUUUAUUCUAUAAAUGAAAGUGUAAGCAUUCCACCUCAUGAGUAAUUUGGCAACAUUGGAAUUGAAAUCAUUAGACCGUUUCUGAAACCAG